rnacentral:rRNA from 1 species
GAUCCUGACUCAGGACGAACGCUGGCGGCGCGUCUAACACAUGCAAGUCGAACGAGCGAGAGAGAGCUUGCUUUCUCAAGCGAGUGGCGAACGGGUGAGUAACGCGUGAGGAACCUGCCUCAAAGAGGGGGACAACAGUUGGAAACGACUGCUAAUACCGCAUAAGCCCACGGCUCGGCAUCGAGCAGAGGGAAAAGGAGCAAUCCGCUUUGAGAUGGCCUCGCGUCCGAUUAG